UGCUCCAAGAAGAAAACACCGAGACCCACUACUUGAGAUUUUGAAAAUGAAAAGAAAAAUAAAAGAAAAGAAAAGAAAAGGAAAUGGAGCUGAUGGAUAGGUACAACGUCAUGGUCAUGCUGACUGUUGGUAAACACGCAACACAUCCCUGCAGCCUCUUUGGAAGAGAGGCUUUGCAAUUGCAUCUCCUUCACGUCUCUCACUGCAAAGCCCAAUCCUUUCCUUCCACACCUAAGCAGCAAGCUCUCGCCGCCAUGGAGUCGCUUCCAUCCCCCUCUAGCUUGCGCCACGCUACCUAUUCAAGAAUUUGAAGUGAAGCUAUAAUGAAGAGGUGAUCACAGCAAAUUGAGAUUUCCAAACUACUUGGCUGGUUGUAACCUGAUGCCUCAUCAUCAUCAGAAGCAUAUAUAGAGGGAGAGAGUGAAUAAUCUAAAAUGGAGUUCGCCACAGGGGCGAUCAGAACAGUGCUCCCCAAGCUGGGUGAGCUGCUCAAGGAGGAGUAUGAACUGCAGAAGAGCGUUAAGGAGGGCAUCAGGUUUCUCAAGGCCGAACUCGAGAGUAUGCAACCUGCCCUUAAGAAGGUAUCUGACAUUCCAUUAUACCAACUUGACGAGCAAGUAUGGAUCUGGGCUAGGGAUGUUAGGGAGCUAUCCUACAGCAUCGAGGAUAUUAUUGACAAUUUCAUGCUGCAAGCUGAUGCAGUUGAGCCAACCAAGAAAUACAACUUGACAUGGUUAAUCAACAAGUGCCACAAGUUGUCUCAGGUAAUGACCCACCGUAAAAUCGGCAAUGACAUCAAAUAUGUUAAGAGCAAAGUCAAUGAGGUGAUGGAACGACACGAUAGGUAUAUGAUUGAUGUUAUUGCCGCUAAGCCUCCAAUGGCUGUCGACCCUCGCAUAUUGGGACUGUAUGAAAGGGUCACCAAUCUUGUUGGCAUUGACAAGCCACGCGAUGAUCUAAUCAAUAGAUUGUCCACGGGAGAUGAGGCAUCCAAUAAGCUCAAGAUGAUAUCUGUUGUUGGAUUUGGAGGAUUGGGCAAGACAACUCUUGCCAAAGCGGUGUUUGAUGUGCUUAAAGUGCAAUUUGAUUAUGCCGGUUUUGUUCCAGUGGGCCAAAAACCUAGCAUCAGGAAAGUUCUGAAGGACAUCCUGAUUGAAUUUAAUAAGCACAAGUACAUGUCAUUUGAUGUAGCAGCACUAAGUGAAAGAGAUCUGAUUAAUGAGCUCCGAGAAUGUCUUGACAACAAGAGGUAUUUGAUUGUUAUUGAUGAUAUAUGGGAGACAUCAACAUGGAAAAUGAUCAAUUGUGCUUUGGUGGAUAGUGAUUGUGGAAGUAAAGUAAUUACAACAACUCGUAUUUCUCAAGUUGCUAAAGAAGUUGGUGAUGUUUACGACAUGGAGCCACUUUCAUACGAUAACUCCAAAAGGUUAUUCUAUAAGAGAAUACUUGGUGUUGACUUUGAAGGUCCAACUUACAAUCAGUCGGCUAUUGAGGCAACCAAGAAGAUCUUGAAGAAAUGUGGUGGUGUACCAUUGUCAAUAAUUACAAUAGCUAGUUUGUUGGUUGAUAGACCACCUGAGGACUGGUAUGUAGUUUACAACUCUAUUGGCUUUGGGCCUACAAAUGACUUUGUUGGUUUUGGGCCUGAAGAUCAAAAUGAAUUAGUUCGUAACACAAGGAAGAUAUUAUCUUUUAGUUACUAUGAUCUUCCUUCAUACCUCAAGACUUGUAUGCUGCACCUAAGCAUAUAUCCAGAAGAUUAUUGGAUUGAGAAAGAUAGUGUGAUAUGGAAGUGGAUAGCUGAAGGCUUUGUCCAUGAGGAAGAAGGGAAGGGGUUAUUCGAGGUUGGGGAGAGGUACUUCAUUGAGCUUGCUAAUAAAAACAUGAUCCAACCAACAGAACAGAAAUAUGCUGGUAGCAAAGUGAAUGGAUGUCAUAUCCAUGACAUGGUGCUAGACCUCAUCCGCAUCUUGGCAAAACAAGAAAACUUUGUCGAAGUAUUCGAUAGAAUGCAUGAGAGGCACAAAUCUUAUUUGCUGAGCAAAACAAUCCGCAGGUUAGCAUUGCAUAAGAGUUGGAACCAAUAUAAUAACUUCGGCAUAGGCAUGGAGCAACUAAGAUCAUUCAAUGCCAUCGAGUGCCCUACUAGCAUGAUUCCCCCGCUUGUGAGCUUCCAAGUCCUACGUGUGCUUGCAUUGGAAAAUUAUGUUGCCAAUGGAGCCUACCAACUCAAGCAUCUUGGGAAGCUGCUUCAAUUGAGGUACCUAGGGCUAAGAAAGAUGCGUGUUUCUGAGCUCCCAAGUGAAUUAGGAGAUCUCCUGCACCUACAAACAUUGGAUGUAAUGGACACCGGCUUGGAGGCAUUGCCCCUGACCUUGAGCAAGCUUAGAAAGCUGAUGUGCCUACGUGUAGAUGAGGAUACCAAAGUUCUUUCUGGGGUUGGGAGCCUGACAUCUCUCCAAGAGCUGUUCCUAAGAGAAUUAUCUAAAGACACCUGCCCAAACUAUUGUGUGGAUCUGUGCAGACUGACGAACCUGAGGACGCUCAAUGUUUCAUUCAAGACAGAACAGGAGAGCUCACUAAUAAAUGCACUAGUGGAGUCUCUGCACAGCCUACGCAAAAUCCAGAACCUAUAUAUUCGUCUAAACAUAGAUAGCCAAGAGGCAAAACCUGUGAUGAGCAUCUGGGAGCGCUGGGAGGCCCCGCGACAGCUCCAUGCUUUCCAUCUGAGUGGUGUGCGUCUUCCUCGACUCCCGGCAUGGGUGAACUCCACACACAUCCCUCGCCUUACCGAUCUUUUCCUUGAGGUUGUGGCCGUGGAGCCUCGGGACCUGGACGUCCUAGGGAGGAUGCCGAUGCUGCGUUUCCUCUUCAUGGAUGUCGGGACAAGAUUUUUGUGGACAGUCCCUGCAGGUGGCGGACUAUUUCCGAACCUGAGAUGCUGCUCCGUGAACAUGGAGCUUAUCUUUUCGCAGGGAGCAAUGCCAGUGCUCAAAUUGCUUCAUUUUUAUGUGGGCGUGCUCGACGAAGCUGCUGCAACUGCAAAUGAUGUUGGCUUGGGGAGCCUCCCUCUGCUUGACACUGUUGAUAUUUGGGUCAUGUGCAAGGGUGCCACGGCUAGGCAAGUUGAGGAAGCAGAAGUUGCAUUGAGGCAAGCAGUCGAUGCCCACCCGAACCGUCCUACCCUUCGUAUGCGCCGAUUUCAGGAGUGGUUGAUGAAGAAAGGCAAUGAUGAUGUUGAUGAUGGGGAGAUUUCAGCUAUAGAUGAAGUUGACACAAACAAUGUACGGUGAUGAUGAGAAGAAGUCAGAUGCUAGUCAAUAUGCGAAGCACUUGCCUAGGAUUCUAUGCAAACAUCAUGGGGGUAACUUGAAGUGAAGCUAAAAUGAAGAGGUGAUUACUGCAAAGUGAGAUUUCCAAACUACUUGGCUGGUAGUAGGCUGAUGCCUCAUCACCAUCAAAAGCAUAUAUAGACAGAGAGAGUGAACCAUCU